AAGUAUUACAGCUCUUUUAGAAUUUGUCUAGCAGGUUUUCUGGUUUGCACUGGAAAGCCCCA
rnacentral:snRNA from 1 species